GGGAAUGUGGUUUAGUGGUAGAGUGCUUACCUAGUAUGUAUGAAUCCCUAGGUUCAAUUCCUCAGUACCA
rfam:Dipodomys ordii contig_17104, whole genome shotgun sequence.